GUAGGUGAACCUGCGGAAGGAUCAUUAUCAUAACGUAUCCACGUAUAAACCAAUUAAUAUAAUGUGAAUUGUAAUGUUUUACAGCCUUUGAUAAUUAAUGAUUGCUAUUCAGUUUUUUGUCUGUGAUUAAGGACAAUUUGAAUAGACUUGGUUUCUCUCUUUCGGGGGAGUUCCCUAGCAUUAACUAUUGAAGUGUAAUUUAAUCAAUAUUAACCAAUUGAACCGAUUAACUUAAUUGUUAUUCAUUCUU
rnacentral:misc_RNA from 1 species